GAGUUUGAUCAUGGCUCAGAACGAACGCUGGCGGCAUGCCUAACACAUGCAAGUCGAACGAGCCCUUCGGGGCUAGUGGCGCACGGGUGCGUAACGCGUGGGAAUCUGCCCUUAGGUACGGAAUAACUCAGGGAAACUUGAGCUAAUACCGUAUAAUGACUCCGGUCCAAAGAUUUAUCGCCUAAGGAUGAGCCCGCGUAGGAUUAGCUAGUUGGUGAAGGUAAAAGCUCACCAAGGCGACGAUCCUUAGCUGGUCUGAGAGGAUGAUCAGCCACACUGGGACUGAGACACGGCCCAGACUCCUACGGGAGGCAGCAGGUGGGGAAUAUUGGACAAUGGGCGAAAGCCUGAUCCAGCAAUGCCGCGUGAGUGAUGAAGGCCUUAGGGUUGUAAAGCUUCUUUUACCCGGGAUGAUAAUGACAGUACCGGGAGAAUAACGCCCGGCUAACUCCGUGCCAGCAGCCGCCGUAAG
rnacentral:rRNA from 1 species